rnacentral:rRNA from 1 species
AGCGAACGCUGGCGGCAGGCCUAACACAUGCAAGUCGAACGGACCCUUCGGGGUUAGUGGCGGACGGGUGAGUAACACGUGGGAACGUGCCUUUAGGUUCGGAAUAGCUCCUGGAAACGGGUGGUAAUGCCGAAUGUGCCCUUCGGGGGAAAGAUUUAUCGCCUUUAGAGCGGCCCGCGUCUGAUUAGCUAGUUGGUGAGGUAAAGGCUCACCAAGGCUACGAUCAGUAGCUGGUCUGAGAGGAUGAUCAGCCACAUUGGGACUGAGACACGGCCCAAACUCCUACGGGAGGCAGCAGUGGGGAAUCUUGCGCAAUGGGCGAAAGCCUGACGCAGCCAUGCCGCGUGAAUGAUGAAGGUCUUAGGAUUGUAAAAUUCUUUCACCGGGGACGAUAAUGACGGUACCCGGAGAAGAAGCCCCGGCUAACUUCGUGCCAGCCGCCGCUGUAAAAC